rnacentral:rRNA from 1 species
UGUGUAUCAAAUCUUUGUUGCUUCCCGCAUGGUGUGGCCUGCAAAGGCUACCCUGUGGGAAGGAUAUGAUAAACUCUUGUUGUUGUGUCAUUAGUCUGAGUGGUAAACACAUGAAACAAGUUAAAACUUUCAACAACGGAUCUCUUGGUUCUCGCAUCGAUGAAGAACGCAGCGAAAUGCGAUAAGUAGUGUGAAUUGCAGAAUUCAGUGAAUCAUCGAAUCUUUGAACGCACAUUGCGCCUUCUGGUAUUCCGGGAGGCAUGCCUGUUCGAGCGUCAUCAAACACAUCCUCAAGCACUUUUGCUUGGUAUUGGUGGCAGAUGUCCGCAUCUCCUCUUAAAUUCCUCAGCGGAAACUACUGCGGUCUCAGGUGUCAUAAGAUUACCUUUCGCUUGAUAACUGCCGGUAGGUUCUUGCUGUGAAGAGCCCCCCAG